UCCUCAGCCUGGCGGGCCCGGGCGCUGGCUGGAGCCGCAGGGGCGCGUCAGGGGCCGGGCUGGGCGCCGAGGCCCGCAGAGGAGCGCAGAACACGGGCUUGGGCCCCGCGCAGAGGCCGCCAGGGGGCCGCGGUGCGCCUCCCACCCGGUCACCUCGGUGCCAGCCCUGCGGCCUCAGGGUAGGCGGACCCACGGCCCUCCACGCCCUCCCUCGCUCGCGUCCUGCCCGGCUGGGAACUCCGCGGGGUCCCGCCGAGUCGGGGACGGGCCGCCGCAGCGCAGCAGCUCACCUCUGCGGUCUUCCCUCACUCAGCUCUUCGCCUUCAACCGCUUCGGCUCUUUUCGUCACCCCUCUUUACUCCUCGUUCCUCUUCGUCACUUUCCGUCAUCUCCGAUUAGGCUCGGCCUGCUUCAGCUCGCCAGUUCGCCUUCCUCUUUGUCGCCCUCGGAUCAUUUCCGUGACUCUUCGUCAGUAUCCGUCAGUCCCGGUCCCUGUCCGUCCAUUCUCGCCACUUUCCGUCGCUCCCCGUCGCUCCCCGUUCAUUCUCCGUCACUCUGCGUCACUCUCCGUCAGGCAUCGUCUACCUUCGUCACUCCCCGUCACUCUCCGUCGCUUUCCGUCGCUCCCCGUUCAUUCUCCGUCACUCUGCGUCACUCUCCGUCAGGCAUCGUCUACCUUCGUCACUCUCCGUCGCUCCCCGUCGCUCUCCGUUCAUUCUCCGUCACUCUCCGUCAGGCAUCGUCUACCUUCGUCACUCUCCGUCGCUCUCCGUCACUCUCCGUUCAUUCUCCGUCACUCUCCGUUCAUUCUCCGUCAUUCUCCGUCAGGCAUCGUCUACCUUCGUCACUCUCCGUCGCUCUCCGUCACUCUCCGGCUGCUCCCUUCCCCGCACGCCGGCUGCAGAAAGCCUCAUGGCCUUUGCCUGCUGUAGCCCUUCUCCGUCCCUCUCCGGUGCUGCUGUCUCUGUGAGUCCCGGGUGAUUUCUGCUCGGCCCGUGACUCUGUCUUCCUCCCUUCGCUUCUGGGAGAGUGGCCUGAGCCCUCCCGAGACGCCUCUCCCCGCUACCCGGCCUGACGGAUGGUGAGGAGCGGGGGUCUGGGGGUGGUCCCGAGGGGAGGAGCGGGGGUCUGGGGGUGGUCCCGAGGGGAGGAGCCGGGGGUCUGGGGGUGGUCCCGAGGGGAGGAGCAGGGAGUCUGGGGGUGGUCCCGAGGGGAGGAGCCGGGGGUCUGGGGGUGGUCCCGAGGGGAGAAGCGGGGGUCUGGGGGUGGUCCCGAGGGGAGGAGCAGGGAGUCUGGGGGUGGUCCCGAGGGGAGGAGCCGGGGGUCUGGGGGUGGUCCCGAGGGGAGGAGCGGGGGUCUGGGGGUGGUCCCGAGGGGAGGAGCCGGGGGUCUGGGGGUGGUCCCGAGGGGAGGAGCGGGGGUCUGGGUGUGCUUUGCAUGGGGUCUCCCUGUGGUCCGGAGGGUGGAGCAGGGGGUCUGGGGCUGGUACUUAUGAGAGGGACAGGGCUGUUUCUGUUUUUGGUCCGUUUCCCAUCUGUCCUCGUGAUCCGGACAGGUGGGGCAUAAUGGGAGGGUCAAGGUGAGGGGAAGGAAGGCGUGGCGGCCUGGUCCCGAGGGGCAGGAAAGGGGUUCGUGGUGCGGUUCUGACGUGUGACCCCAUCCACAGGAGAAUGGACACCUCAGACUCUCCCAUCCCUGGCCAUUGGCGUGGCCCAGGAGCUGCCUUCCCUGGCUGUGCUCGAGGCUCACUGGAGGGAACGUCGUUUUCAUUGUGGGAAAUUUUUGAAAAGUCUCUUACAGAUUUCAGUGAGUUCAAAGCCGCCCGUGCGCAGACGUAGGUCCGUUCUUCGCCUAGCUUCACUCUAGCCUGCCGAAAGGAAAUGGUAAUAGAGCUGGAAAAGGUGUCCUGGGGUUGAUUAGAGGAUUUUCCGUUUCAUCUUGGAAAGGGAUAUUGACGGGAGGCCAGAACUUCUAGAUCCUCUUCAAUUUCAAGAAAUACUUUAAAGCCUGGACAAUAUCGGGAGGCCUUAUCUCUACAAAAUAAAAAUGGAAAAAUCAGCUGGGUGCGAUGGCACACUCCUGUGGUCCCACCUUCUCUGGAGGAUGAGGUGGGAAGAUCACGAGCUUGGGAGGCUGAGGCUGCAGUUAGCUGUGAUUGUGCCAGUGUACUGCAGCCUGGGUGACAGAGCAAGACGCUGAAAAAAAAAAAAAUAAAAGGGAAGGAGGGAGGGAGGGAGAGAGGAAGGAAGGAAGUAAACAAAUGGCUCAGGCUCAGAGAGCUGUGUGUGGCCCCCAGCUCCCACCCCCACCAAAGGGCCUGCAAACCCACAGGGGGGCAGGUUGUCUUUAGCUGGAACCACAGGGACGGGGGGCCCUGAACUGUAGGGGUUGGGGUUAGGGUUAGGCUUUGAGGUUUGGGGUUAUAGAAUAUAGAUGGGUUUGGUCCUGGGAAAAUUCCAGGUCUGGGUUUUGUGGUCGGGGGUUGGUCUCCGGUGAGAUGCGACAUGUUUACAGGGUUUGUGAGGUAUGUACAGAUGUGUACGGUGCUGUUGUUGGAAUGUGUUCUCCAGAUUUCAUGUGUUGGCAAUUUUGUGUUCUUUUUUUUUUUGAGAUGGUGUCUCGCCCUGGCAUCUGUCACCCAGGCUGGAGUGCAAUAGUGUGAUCUCAGCUCACUGCAGCCUCUGCCUCCCAGGUUCAAGCCAUUCUCGUACCUCAGCCUCCCAGUGGCUGGCAUUGUAGCAGGAUAAGCCAGAGACAAAAUUCCUCAGACACCAGGUUAAAGAAGGAAGGGCUGUAUUCGGCCAGGAGCACUGACAGACUUGCAUCUUAAGAGCUGAGCUCCCCAAAAAGGAAAUUCCUGGUGCUUUUAAGGGCUUACGACUCUGAGGGGUUCACGUGAAAGCAUUGUGAUAGCUUAAGCAAGUGCGGGGAACGUGACGGGGGGCUGCAUGCAUCAGAUAACAGACC
rnacentral:lncRNA from 10 species